AAUACGAAGGGGGCUAGCGUUGUUCGGAAUUACUGGGCGUAAAGGGCGCGUAGGCGGUCCUGAUCGUCGGAUGUGAAAGGCCUGGGCUCAACCUGGGAACUGCAUCCGAUACGGCGGGACUGGAGUGUGGGAGAGGAUGGUGGAAUUCCCAGUGUAGAGGUGAAAUUCGUAGAUAUUGGGAAGAACACCGGUGGCGAAGGCGGCCAUCUGGACCACAACUGACGCUGAGGCGCGAAAGCGUGGGGAGCAAACAGGA
rnacentral:rRNA from 1 species